GACGAACGCUGGCGGCGUGCUUAACACAUGCAAGUCGAACGGUAAGGCCCUUUCGGGGGUACACGAGUGGCGAACGGGUGAGUAACACGUGGGUAAUCUGCCCUGCACUUCGGGAUAAGCCUGGGAAACUGGGUCUAAUACCGGAUAUGAGUCCCGGCCGCAUGGUCUGGGGUUGGAAAGUUUUUUCGGUGCAGGAUGAGCCCGCGGCCUAUCAGCUUGUUGGUGGGGUAAUGGCCUACCAAGGCGACGACGGGUAGCCGGCCUGAGAGGGUGAUCGGCCACACUGGGACUGAGACACGGCCCAG
rnacentral:rRNA from 1 species